rnacentral:rRNA from 2 species
AGACCCGAAACCCGGUGAUCUAGCCAUGGGCAGGUUGAAGGUUGGGUAACACUAACUGGAGGACCGAACCGACUAAUGUUGAAAAAUUAGCGGAUGACCUGUGGCUGGGGGUGAAAGGCCAAUCAAACCGGGAGAUAGCUGGUUCUCCCCGAAAGCUAUUUAGGUAGCGCCUCGUGAAUUCAUCUCCGGGGGUAGAGCACUGUUUCGGCUAGGGGGCCAUCCCGGCUUACCAACCCGAUGCAAACUGCGAAUACCGGAGAAUGUUAUCACGGGAGACACACGGCGGGUGCUAACGUCCGUCGUGAAGAGGGAAACAACCCAGACCGCCAGCUAAGGUCCCAAAGUCAUGGUUAAGUGGGAAACGAUGUGGGAAGGCCCAGACAGCCAGGAUGUUGGCUUAGAAGCAGCCAUCAUUUAAAGAAAGCGUAAUAGCUCACUGGUCGAGUCGGCCUGCGCGGAAGAUGUAACGGGGCUAAACCAUGCACCGAAGCUGCGGCAGCGAACGUAUCACUUAAAGCGAUUCAGCGGGUUAC